GUAGGUGAACCUGCGGAGGGAUCAUUAUUGAAUGGUCUUUGACCUUCUACCCUUCAAACCUGUGGAAGCAAACAAUGUGCUUCGGCGUCCUUUUCGGACGUCGCUUUUAUGCAGUAAUCUGUGUGUUGUCUGAAUAAUACAAAAGGAUCAAAACUUUCAACAAAGGAUCUCUUGGCUCUUGCAUCGAUGAAGAACGCAGCAUCUGACUGACUACGUGGU
rnacentral:misc_RNA from 1 species